AGAAUGGAUAUUGCACAGUGUGAGACACUGUUCUAGUAAACAACCCAUCUCAGGUAGAGGUAACUCUUUAAUGGUUACCAUCUGGUAAUCGCCUGGGACUAUCUUUUUCCAUUUGCAUCUAAGCAGUUAUGAAUGAAGGUGAUUAUACACUAAA
rnacentral:misc_RNA from 1 species